UACGUAGGGUGCAAGCGUUAAUCGGAAUUACUGGGCGUAAAGCGUGCGCAGGCGGCUAUGCAAGACGGAUGUGAAAUCCCCGGGCUUAACCUGGGAACUGCAUUUGUGACUGCAUGGCUAGAGUACGGUAGAGGGGGAUGGAAUUCCGCGUGUAGCAGUGAAAUGCGUAGAUAUGCGGAGGAACACCGAUGGCGAAGGCAAUCCCCUGGACCUGUACUGACGCUCAUGCACGAAAGCGUGGGGAGCAAACAGG
rnacentral:rRNA from 1 species